GACUCGUUUUAGGGUUUUAUCAAAUUUCUUCCCUCUCUUCCCGCCUCUUCCCGCCGAUUGCAGGAGUCCCCACUCCCCACUACGAAACUCGCCGGAUUUAUAGAUUCGUUACUGUCCAACUGUGAAGUGUCAACCCACCCCUCUCUGGCUUACAGCCAUUAAUGGUGGAAGCGGCCGAUUAGCUUGUCUAGGUUUCUGUCCAAAAUUUGAAGCCUUCACGUUAGAUCAAGUGCUUCUCCUUUUUUCUUUCAGAUUAUUUGUCUUCCACAGAAAACCCCUUUUCCUUGCGUCUGUUAAAUUUUAAUUUUCUUUAGCAUCUUUUACUUGCAGGAGGCGGAGGUUGUUUGAUUUUCAAUAAUCUCGACCUCUUAACAUGUCGGGGAGGAACCGUGGACCUCCGCUUCCAAUGAAGGGUACGCCACAUGGUGGUCUCCCCCCUAUUCAUGAACUUCCAUUCGGCAGAGGGCUCGGUCCGAUGCCUCAUCCGGCGCUUCUGGAGGAAAUGAGGGAAGCCCAGUUCGGACGGGGUCCCAGGCCGUUGCCUCUUCACCCUGCCAUAAUCGAAGAGAGGCUCGAAGCUCAACAUCAGGAAAUCCAGGGGCUUCUGAUUGAUAAUCAGAGGCUGGCUGCCACCCAUGUCGCGUUAAAGCAGGAAUUGGCUGCUGCCCAGCACGAGCUGCAACGUGUGGCUCAUCUUGCUGGCACCAUGAAUUCUGAGAAGGAAAUCCAGCUCAGAGAAGCCUAUGACAAGUCUAUGAAAAUGGAAUCUGAUCUCCGUGCUGCAGAGUCUAUGAGGGCUGAGCUUCUGCAAGUUCGCGCUGAUAUUCAGAAGCUCACUGCCGCUAGGCAAGAGCUUAUGGCUCAGGUCGAAGCGCUUACUCAAGAUUUGGCUAGAGCUAAUUGUGAUUUGCAGCAGGCACCCGCACUGAAGGCUGAAAUCGAGAGCAUGAAACAGGAUUUGCAACGAGCUAGGGUUGCCAUUGAGUACGAGAAGAAAGGACAUGCUGAAAAUUAUGAACAGGGUCAGGCAAUGGAGAAGAAUCUGAUUGUCAUGGCUCGUGAGGUGGAAAAGAUGCGUGCUGAGAUUGCCAAUGCAGAGAAAAGAGCACGUGCUGCUGCUGCUGUUGGGAACCCCGGUGCAGGUUAUAGUGGGAAUUAUGGUAAUCCUGAUCCUGGAUAUGGGGGAAAUCCUUAUACUGCUGCUUAUGGCAUGGAUCCUGGUAGUGUGGAAGCUGCUGCACAAUAUGGACUUGGACCUGGUUCUUGGAAUGCAUAUGAUAUGCAGCGUGCUCAUGGACGCAGAUAAACUAGUGUGCAUGCCAUGCCAAGUUGUGGGCCCCUCAUUUUGCUCACCCACAUACUGGGGAUGUCUGUGCUUGACCAUAAGUUCUGGUUAUGUCAUGCGCCUCUCAUCUCCUCAAGGUAUGUGUUUCCAUGUGUCUGCUUUCAUUGUUUGUUAUAAUGGAAGUACUCCAACCAUUACAUCUUCCUGCAAACAUGGAAAGGUGAAGCUGAACUGAGUCCCGAUCACCUGCCAACAAAAUAUGUUCCAGCACCCUACCAACAUCCGACACCACACAUCAUGGCGGGUCCUACUUUUAUGUUGGGCCCCAGUUUUAUAGCGAGAUGUGCGGUGUCAGAUAAGUUGGUAGGGUGUUGGAACUUUUUGUUGGCAGGUGAUCUCAAUUCGAACUGAGUGGUGUCUGGUGUGACUGAACUACUUGGUGGGAAGUUCUGACAUGCUUGGAAAAUUGUUGCACUGCCGUUCGAAUCAGCACCAGAAAACUUGAAUUUGGCCAUUGGCACUGCAAAAAACCAUUGUUUACAGUUUGUUUCUUUUACGUGGAAUCGUGUCUCUCUGCCUCUGCUUGUUGCGAGCAUAUUGCUCAGACUCUUUCUGGAACAUGGGAGUUCCCAUUUGUACCUGCCCUGCAACAAGAAGCCAGGGUUGGAGGAAAGUUGUCUCUUGUGAAAUUCAAAAGGGCAAUUUUUUGCUCAGGCUGUCAAUAUUUCUUAUUUGUUUCUUUGUUUUGCAAGGUGUUAUUUUUUUUUCUUGAGGAAUUUUAUGUGGCAAGAGUACAGUUUCCAUCAUGUGGAUUGUGGGUGUUUGUGAAUGGACUGCAUUUACAUUUGCCGGUAUGCCAGACUGCCAGUAUUUGUAGUUAAGUUCUCUUCUGAAGACCUCUCUGAGGGUGUAAGCAAUAGGAUGGUUAGCUUAGUACCUUACUAGAGGAUUAGAAAACGUUCACAAAAAACACCCCAUAUGAUAAAUUUGAAGCAAUACUGAGACAUCAUAAUGUAUGUGUUUGGUAUA